CUUAAAAAAAUGAUGAUAUUUUCUCCCCUAAACUGAUAAAUAAUGCAGAAAUCUUUUAACAUGCAUCACCAUCUGAUAAUAUAU